rnacentral:pre_miRNA from 1 species
AGAGAAAUAGCUGGGUCAGAUGGUGGGUCCAUUCCCAAUCCCAAUUUUCCAAGGAAUAUCCAUACUGCUUUCCAUAUUGGCUGCACCAGUUUGCAGUCCCUCCAGCAGU